GACGAACCACACAAACGUUAUUCGGAAUUACUGGGCUUAAAGGGUGCGUAGGCGGCGCGGAAAGUUGGGUGUGAAAUCCCUCGGCUCAACCGAGGAACUGCGCUCAAUACUACCGUGCUCGAGGGAGACAGAGGUGAGCGGAACUUAGGGUGGAGCGGUGAAAUGCGUUGAUAUCCUAAGGAACACCCGUGGCGAAAGCGGCUCACUGGGUCUCUUCUGACGCUCAGGCACGAAAGCGUGGGGAUCAAACAGG
rnacentral:rRNA from 1 species